GAUGAACGCUGGCGGCGUGCUUAACACAUGCAAGUCGAGCGAAGCAGUUAAGUUGAUUUCUUCGGAUUGAUUCUUGACUGACUGAGCGGCGGACGGGUGAGUAACGCGUGGGUGACCUGCCCCAUACCGGGGGAUAACAGCUGGAAACGGCUGCUAAUACCGCAUAAGCGCACAGAGCUGCAUGGCUCGGUGUGAAAAACUCCGGUGGUAUGGGAUGGGCCCGCGUCUGAUUAGGCAGUUGGCGGGGUAACGGCCCACCAAACCGACGAUCAGUAGCCGGCCGGGGAGGGGGAGCGGGCACAUUGGGACUGAGACACGGCCCAAGCUCCUACGGGAGGCGGCAGUGGGGAAUAUUGCACAAUGGGGGAAACCCUGAUGCAGCGACGCCGAGUGAGCGAAGAAGUAUUUCGGUAUGUAAAGCUCUAUCAGCAGGGAAGAUAAUGACGGUACCUGACUAAGAAGCCCCGGCUAACUACGUGCCAGCAGCCGCCGUAA
rnacentral:rRNA from 1 species